UUCGUCACACUAUCAUUAACUGAAUCCAUAGGUUAAUGAGGCGAACCGGGGGAACUGAAACAUCUAAGUACCCCGAGGAAAAGAAAUCAACCGAGAUUCCCCCAGUAGCGGCGAGCGAACGGGGAGGAGCCCAGAGCCUGAAUCAGCAUGUGUGUUAGUGGAAGCGUCUGGAAAGGCGCGCGAUACAGGGUGACAGCCCCGUACACAAAAGCGCAUGUGCUGUGAGCUCGAUGAGUAGGGCGGGACACGUGGUAUCCUGUCUGAAUAUGGGGGGACCAUCCUCCAAGGCUAAAUACUCCUGACUGACCGAUAGUGAACCAGUACCGUGAGGGAAAGGCGAAAAGAACCCCGGCGAGGGGAGUGAAAAAGAACCUGAAACCGUGUACGUACAAGCAGUGGGAGCACAGGUUUACCUG
rnacentral:rRNA from 1 species